AUUGAACGCUGGCGGCAGGCCUAACACAUGCAAGUCGAACGAGUGGCGGACGGGUGAGUAAUGUCUGGGAAACUGCCUGAUGGAGGGGGAUAACUACUGGAAACGGUAGCUAAUACCGCAUACAUCCAGUUUGGCCCGGAUGGGAUUAGCUAGUUGGUGGGGUAACGGCUCACCAAGGCGACGUACCCUAGCUGGUCGGAGAGGAUGAUCAGUCACACUGGAACUGAGACACGGUCCAGACUCCUACGGGAGGCAGCAGUGGGGAAUAUUGGACAAUGGGCGAAAGCCUGAUCCAGCCAUGCCGCGUGUGUGAAGAAGGUCUUCGGAUUGUAAAGCACUUUAAGUUGGGAGGCGUUACCAACAGAAUAAGCACCGGCUAACUUCGUGCCAGCAGCCGCGAUAAUAC
rnacentral:rRNA from 1 species